GCCCCUGUAGCUCAGUAGGAUAGAGCGACAGAUUCCUAAUCUGUAGGCCGCCCGUUCAAGUCGGGCCAGGGGCACCA
rnacentral:tRNA from 1 species